UUGGCUCAACUCAAUUUCUAAACAGCCCUAAUUGCCAUAAGUAUCAUAAAAUUAGCACUUUUACUAAAUCGUUUCAUAUAAAUUGGUUCGAGAUGAAAUAAGUGGGUUUAUUACCUUAUUUUUUUGUUGCCAUCCUUACCAAGGCCCAAGAGUAGCUACUAGCCUGCUAUGGUAGACUAAACUAUGUUUUCACCUCAAUAUUUUGUGUAUAUGACUUAUUGAUCCUCAACUCUUCAUUUAAUUAAAGGUCGUUAUCUAUUCGUAUCUACACAUACAAACAUUAUCGAACAUAUCUUUAUACUAUCAAAAAUAAAAUUUAUUUUGGAAAUAUAAUUUCACAUUGCUGAUUUGUGUUUAGGGCAAUUUUUUGUACAAAAAACAGGUGCAAAGCAUCACUACCUCACAUUAUUAAUAUUGCAUGUAAAGGAAACACUAAUGUACCGGAUAAAAACCAUCGAUAAAUAAUAUGGUCAUCGUGAUAAACCAAAUGAAAAUCAAAAAGAAAGAAUACCCUUUAUGGGUCAAAAAAUUGGUUAGGCAAUUACCUUUCCGAAACACAUCGGAUAGAUUAGCAAUUCAAUCCCCCGCUGCCCGAGGCUGCAGAAAUACAUCACGAAACUAGCAUGUUGAUGUAACGGCUCCUCUAUCAACUGCAAAAUAGACAAAAACCAAUACCAAGUUCAUCUGGAAAGCCAUUAUCCAAUGUAAAAAUUACUAGACUAGAAGGCGAUAUUCAAUGACUCCUCCAAAUUUCACGCGAGUGACGAAACAACUUUCAGAUUGUCUGGCGCGAUUAUUGUAUGCACAGAAACAUGUACACUUGACUUCUUGCUCAAACGUUAACUUCUUUCGUGAAUGCCACCAAACCCAUCCAUUUGGAUUUGCAAUCAUUCACCAUCUUUUCAUUACUUAUAAUCAACUGAUUAAUAUAUUAUAAUUAUACUCAUUCAUAGCAAUUAAUCAUUGCAAAAGAGUGUUCAUUUUGAAUUGAAGUAGAAGCACUUGCAUAUUCUUCUUAUUUACACUCAAAGAUAAAUGCAUACUUUCUCCUUACACACUCAAGCAUGGAGUGAGACAAAUUAUCAGAGGUGUUUUAUUGGUUUUCCAAAUAGGCCAUUAGGUCCAUUAAGGGUCAAGUCCAUUUUCUACUGUGGCACAUAAUUCAGUUGGAUACAUCCAAACAAUGAUUAUCUAUAGAAUUUAAUUAAUCACAUACUUAAGACUUAGUUUGCAACAAAUGAAUUAGGAGCAAAAAUUUACCAAAUCUGAUGGAUUUGAGGAAUUCCUUGUUUCCCAACGAAAAUUAUCCAUCUAUUAUCUCAAUUCCAUUUGGAACCAGCGAAUUGGCAAUUCCGGUUCACAGUCCCCCCACCCCACUCUACUGUUGGGGCGCAGCGG
rnacentral:lncRNA from 1 species